CCCUUGUAGCUCAGGUGGUAAAAAACCUGCCUGCAAUGCAGGAGACCCAGGUUCGAUUCCUGGAUUGGGAA
rnacentral:tRNA from 1 species